rnacentral:rRNA from 1 species
AUUGAACGCUGGCGGCAUGCCUUACACAUGCAAGUCGAACGGCAGCACGGGUGCUUGCACCUGGUGGCGAGUGGCGAACGGGUGAGUAAUACAUCGGAACAUGUCCUGUAGUGGGGGAUAGCCCGGCGAAAGCCGGAUUCAUACCGCAUACGAUCUACGGAUGAAAGCGGGGGACCUUCGGGCCUCGCGCUAUAGGGUUGGCCGAUGGCUGAUUAGCUAGUUGGUGGGGUAAAGGCCUACCAAGGCGACGAUCAGUAGCUGGUCUGAGAGGACGACCAGCCACACUGGAACUGAGACACGGCCCAGACUCCUACGGGAGGCAGCAGUGGGGAAUUUUGGACAAUGGGCGAAAGCCUGAUCCAGCAAUGCCGCGUGUGUGAAGAAGGCCUUCGGGUUGUAAAGCACUUUUGUCCGGAAAGAAAUCCUUUGCCCUAAUACGGUCGGGGGAUGACGGUACCGGAAGAAUAAGCACCGGCUAACUACGUG